GAGCACUGUUUCGGCAAGGGGGUCAUCCCGACUUACCAACCCGAUGCAAACUGCGAAUACCGGAGAAUGUUAUCACGGGAGACACACGGCGGGUGCUAACGUCCGUCGUGAAGAGGGAAACAACCCAGACCGCCAGCUAAGGUCCCAAAGUCAUGGUUAAGUGGGAAACGAUGUGGGAAGGCCCAGACAGCCAGGAUGUUGGCUUAGAAGCAGCCAUCAUUUAAAGAAAGCGUAAUAGCUCACUGGUCGAGUCGGCCUGCGCGGAAGAUGUAACGGGGCUAAACCAUGCACCGAAGCUGCGGCAGCGACGCUGAUGCGUUGUUGGGUAGGGGAGCGUUCUGUAAGCCUGUGAAGGUGUGCUGUGAGGCAUGCUGGAGGUAUCAGAAGUGCGAAUGCUGACAUAAGUAACGAUAAAGCGGGUGAAAAGCCCGCUCGCCGGAAGACCAAGGGUUCCUGUCCAACGUUAAUCGGGGCAGGGUGAGUCGACCCCUAAGGCGAGGCCGAAAGGCGUAGUCGAUGGGAAACAGGUUAAUA
rnacentral:rRNA from 1 species